rnacentral:lncRNA from 1 species
AAUAGAAAAGAGGAAAUUUUCCAUCCCAAUACCAAAAAUUGAACAAGGCUUCAUUUAGAACAUUCCUUCAUUACAGACAUUGAGAAACAUAAUGGUGUACAAACAAGCAUUCGUUUAAGAAGAGAAACUAAAGAAAGAAAGAAAAAAAGAAGAAACAAAGAAAAACUCUUACAAAGCAUGAUGCUGGGAAAUCAAUCAAAAUGAAAACAAAAUAGAAAUAUGACUAUGUUAAAGAGAUUUACUUGGCGCGGAAUAAUGCUCAGCAUCCCUCUUCAUGGCAGGCCAUCAACUCUCAUUUUUUGCACUCAGCAUGCAAAGAAGUACACAAUAUCUGCUGAAAAUUCAUUUUGCAGAAUUAACAAAGUCAUUUUAUGGUACAUAAGAACCUAAUGUUAAAGUUAAUUCCUCCCUAAAUAAACUGUUUUAUUCUUCAGAAUCCCACUUCAAUUGAAGAAGCUAACAAGUGAUUCAUGUAGAGCACACGAAAAAAAACUGGCCUCCAAAGAAGAAAGCUUGCUCUCAGCAUCUCUCUGGCCUUGCCUGGCUCGCUCCACUUCUUUCUGCCAUGCCUGCAUCUACUUCAGAAGGAAGGUGAUUAUAGUGAUACCACUUAUUCUGGCAAUGUCUGCAUCUUCAAUUAUAUGUAUAUUACUACAGUCAUCUAAUUCUGCCUACUAAAAGACUUGAAUUAAUUUACUUUUACCGAAGGUAAAGAAUACAAGUUUUUGAGAAUUACAAAACUUGAAACAGACGACACACAUAACAAAAAGUUCAACACCAGAAAGUUAAAGAGUGAAAGCAUAACACCAGUUCAAUAUCCAGAGGCCCUAAAACUAACUUUGAAGUCCAUGACUGAAUUAACAUUUUGCUUCAAAGUAGAAGUGUUAAAAACCUGAAAAGAAUUAUAAAAUGAAAUCAGUCAUGAGACAAAAAGGAUUUAUGGAGCAAUUUUCACACAAAAAGGCAAUACAAAAUCAGAAAAAAGUUGAGGGCUGGACCUCACAAAAUACAAGACUUGCAGCUUCCUAUGAAUGGCUUUUCAGAAAGACCUAAAGAUUCAGAAACUUAGAGAUGUAAAAAUUAAAUGAAUUUCGGUAUAUAACCGUUGGAUUUGCUAAGUUCCAAUCAAGAUAGAAUUAGGAUGCCACAUAUUUUAUGCAUAUAUGGGCAACAUUCUUGGACUCAUUCUAUGUAGUACAGCAGAAAAAAAUCAUUUUUGUGUGUGUGUGUGUGUUGAGAGAGAGAGAGAGAGAGAGAGAGAUGUCCUCUUGAACAAGCAUUCUUUGAUACUUGUCGCCUUACUUUGUUUAAAAAGUUCAUAAAAAUGGGCCCUUCCAUUAGUGUUAUAAUGCAUACUUGGAAUCUUUGAUUUUGCCUCUUCAGGAGCCUUCUUCGGUCCCCGACGAGCACGGGGCUGCCAUAUCUUGCAGUUCUUGGUUUAAGGAUGCACAUUCAACCUGAUGGCACAUGGUGAUGAUAAAUUGCAAACUUUCAUCUCAAUUAAAGGAAAAUAAACUUUCACUCAGAGAAUGACUGACUGGAAUACACAACUACUGUAUACCUGAGCAGUGCCACCUUCUGCCUCAAGUUCUGUCGCCUUUGAUGUCCUUUCAUCGCUGUUCUCUAACCAGGAAAGCAAUGGAGAAGUUAACUGGAGGCAGAAGAGGUACAAGUAACAAAUUGAGGGGAAUAUCAAAAAAGUUACUAGCGAAGAAAGACUAGGCAUUUGAGCUACCAAGUGAUAAUUAUUAUACUGCUGCUUCUAUAUAUAUACAUAACCCUAUUUAUCGAGUAAAGGGAAUUAUUGAAUUCUAUGAAAGGACAGACAGGAAAACAUCAUUACUGACCAUAGAAGAAAAAGAAUGGAAACAUAUAAACCAGUUAUGUAUGACGGGACUGGAGCUUACUGACUCUAUCUUACGAAGCAAAAGACGGACAUAAUGCCAAUGUGUUGUUUUUAAUACCCUGUUUAUAAGACACAGUGAUAGAAUUAAUUAGGGUAUUUCUGGUACUCUCUUAAUGCAAGAAAAAAAAUCGGUCAAAAAGCCAUAAGCAUUGGCAUAUAAAAUGUCUUUCAAUCCUCUAUUCAGGUUCAUUAAGCUUUAUUUUAUUGUACUCGACAACUACAAUAGGAACCAUUCCAUAACGAGAUAAGUUAAAAAGAAAUCGGCAUCAGAUUGAAAACCUGGACAAGGUAACAUGACAAAAGUAAGAGACUAUUUGAUAACUCUCCGAAAGAGCCAUACUCUAGUUACUCUAAGAAAUAUACUGCUAAUUACUAGAGGUAUUUGUGAAGUGGUCGCAUACAAUCUUUUGAUUUGGACAUGAGAUAUCUAACAUAACUUGUAUAAGUAAGCACGCUUUUUCGGGGACUAAAAUAGAAAAAUAUACAAGGAAUUAGAACAGCAUAAAGAUCGCAUAACAGCUGACAGAUUCAUGGAGCAUGCAUAUUGUCCACAUAUUCAAGUUGUAGCAAGAAUAAACAAGAAGAGUAUUGGGGUUGUUUUGUGGUAUAAAACCUGAGGUCUAUUCCCAAUUUACCCUUCCCAAAUACCCAUUAAUGGGUUAAUACGAUGGGCGGACGUUUUCUGAGUAUUGGAAAUAUAAUAUAAUAUAUAUAUAUAUAUAAUUUAGGUAUAGCUAUAUAUAAUAAUUAGGUAAGUAAAAAUCAGGAAACACUUCAGGACGAUGAGUCACAGAUCGCAGGUUCCUCCAAUCCUCAUACUGGAUUCUGGCUAGGGAUGUGGAUGCCUCAAUAGACGAUGCUCCAAUUCAACUUCCCUCUCCAUAGCAGCCUGUUUGUAAGAUAAAUUUUCUUGUUACACAAUGAAGAGAACAAACAACCAGGGCAAAAAGGGACACGCACACUUAGAUGCAAAAGAAGAAGAAAAUGAGAUUUGCAGAUAAACCAUCUUGGUAGAAUUGUUGUGCGCGCAUGCUCUUCUUCUGCUCUUCGUUCUGCAGAAGCCAACUCCUCCCUGACAGCCUGGUUUGGGGGUGGGGGAAGUUAUUAAAAAUCCAAAAUUCCCACAACAAAAGUAGCUGGAAAGAUAUGCUAGCUUAUCCUAAGAGUACCAAUGAACUUACUUGAAUCAUCCUUGUCUCGGUUAGUUCCCUACUCUCAUUAUCCAGACUCCAUGUUGCCUGACGAGAGGAAUGGUGUUUUGUAGCAUUACGGAAAGCCAAAUGAAGAAUCUUAGGUCAAAGCUACAAAUUAACUGUGGAUGGUUAAACUAAUACAUAAACAAAAGGAUGCAGUGGUGGAAUCUCUGAACAAAGGAAUAGAAGAACAUGCAGUGAGCAAUUUCCCUUCUUGAUUAAAAGCAGCCUGCUUCUUAAAGGAAUCCAUAGAACUGGAAGUGCAUCAAUUUCCUGUAUUUGCAGGCCAAGCCUCAGCCAUAUUUGAACUCAACCUUGGUUGCUUCAUUUUUGGCUUCAGAUAUCUCUCUAUGUAGCUGCUUUAUACGAGCCUCGCAUGACUGACUUAGCUCUUCUCUGUUAUGGUGCAAAAUUAACCAACUGAAAUACCUCCCUCUCUUCUUUAUACAAGUAAAUUAGAAAACUGAAGUUGACGCUCCUUAACAACAAAAUUAAUAUGUGGCAACUUAAGAUUCAUUUCGGCAUCAAAGUAAGGAUAAAAGGAAUUAUGUUUCACCUCUGCAAGAGAAGCUCUUCUAACUGAGCAUAUUCGAUUUGACUCUGAAGAGUGAUUGAGUCCAGCACAAAAAACCUGGAAACCACCAGACUAAUAAGCACUCCAAAAACCCAAAACCCCAAACGACUGAACUUAUGCAUGCCCUUAAAUGUUAAGAUUGCAUGUUAUGUGCAAAGAAGUUCCCAUCAAAAUUCUUCAAUUAAGAAAGGAAGGUCGAGCUCUGGUUUAUGGGAAAAAGAUAAGAAAAGAAAUACCAGAAUUUGAAUCUUACUGCAAUUCAGAGAUAGAAGGAAGGGUAGAAUGCACAUACACGAGAGCACAAGUAAACUACUUCGUAUUAUCAUUCUAACAACAGGAUGGGCCUUGAACUAUGUGUAUAAAUAUACCAUAAAAAAAUCUUUGAUUAGACUUAACCAAUAUAUAUAUUGUUUUUGGCCCAAAACUACAGAGAAGGUUGCAAGGAAUUGUGCUUUACUGCACCUAGGCAAUAGGCUUCAGCCUGACAUCAACAUUCAUUGAGAAGGAUUUGCAUGGAAUGAAUAUUCAAAGCCUGAAAAUGAGGGCACAGUACAAGUUCCUUAGCAGCAUAUAAUGCAUUUACGAACAUCUUAACUAUUCAUAAAUCUAGGUUAAUUUAGUUCUCAAAACCAGGUAAAAUUCUGGCACACAUACAAUGUGAACGAAACCUAGGUUAAACUAUUCCACAAGGUAUCAAAGCCUUACUGGAACCUUAUGGGACAGCAGGAGAGUGGAUCCACACUAGAUUCACCACCAUCAUUAUUGCUUACAGGGCUUGAAUCCAUCAACUAAAAAUGGCAACUCAGGUUUAUAAAAGAAAAAAGAAAAAGAGAGCUUAUGAUGGGCUUUUUCCCAUCACCCCAUAGGGCAGUUUGAUAAGACCAUCAUACGUGUCCCAUCUUACCAAAACAGUGAGCUGGA